AACGAACGCUGGCGGCAGGCCUAACACAUGCAAGUCGAGCGCCCUUUCGGGGGAGCGGCGGCCGGGUGAGUAACGCGUGGGAAUAUGCCCUUCUCUACGGAAUAGCCUCGGGAAACUGAGAGUAAUACCGUAUACGCCCUGUGGGGGAAAGAUUUAUCGGGGAAGGAUUAGCCCGCGUUGGAUUAGGUCGUUGGUAGGGUAAUGGCCUACCAAGCCGACGAUCCAUAGCUGGUUUGAGAGGAUGAUCAGCCACACUGGGACUGAGACACGGCCCAGACUCCUACGGGAGGCAGCAGUGGGGAAUCUUAGACAAUGGGGGCAACCCUGAUCGAGCCAUGCCGCGUGAGUGAUGAAGGCCUUAGGGUUGUAAAGCUCUUUCAGCUGGGAAGAUAAUGACGGUACCAGCAGAAGAAGCCCCGGCUAACUCCGUG
rnacentral:rRNA from 1 species